UACAGAGGGGGCAAGCGUUGUUCGGAAUUACUGGGCGUAAAGGGCGCGUAGGCGGCCUUCUAAGUCGAACGUGAAAUCCCCGGGCUCAACCCGGGAACUGCGUCCGAUACUGGAAGGCUUGAAUCCGGGAGAGGGAUGCAGAAUUCCAGGUGUAGCGGUGAAAUGCGUAGAUAUCUGGAGGAAUACCGGUGGCGAAGGCGGCAUCCUGGACCGGCAUUGACGCUGAUGAGCGAAAGCUAGGGGAGCAAACGGG
rnacentral:rRNA from 1 species